GAUAAACGCUGGCGGUGUACAUAAGACAUGCAAGUCGAACGGGAGAAGACAGGAAGAUUUAUCUACUUGUUGGACACCGUGGCGGACGGGUGAGUAACACGUAAGCAACCUGCCUAUAAGAGGGGAAUAACAGUGAGAAAUUACUGAUAAUACCGCAUAAGCUGGAGGUAUCGCAUGAUACAUUCAGAAAAGAUUUAUCGCUUAUAGAUGGGCUUGCGUCUGAUUAGCUAGUUGGUGAGAUAACAGCUCACCAAGGCGACGAUCAGUAGCCGGAUUGAGAGGUUGAACGGCCACAUUGGGACUGAGACACGGCCCAGACUCCUACGGGAGGCAGCAGUCGGGAAUAUUGCACAAUGGAGGAAACUCUGAUGCAGUGACACCGCGUAUAGGAAGAAGGUCUUAGGAUUGUAAGCUA
rnacentral:rRNA from 1 species